rnacentral:lncRNA from 1 species
GCUAAUUUGAAUUUUUUGCAAUAAAUAAUGAUCAACCUUUGAAGCAGGAUUGAUAUUAGUUAUCAAUCCUGAGAUGUGCAAAGCUUAAAAUAAAAGAACACGCAGAGAAUUAUUUUACGUGGUAAAACCCCACCUCUGGGGAAAAUCCACGGGACUCCUCAGUCCAACUCAAAUCCACUAUAGAACGAUGAUUACAAGAAGUACUCACACACUUAUCCUAGACUCAUUCUAGAUAAUGUUUACCGACUUCUUCGUAACUCAACUUCUGUUACGGGAUGAUCUUCGACACUCCUUAUGUUGAACGCAAUACUGGCCACGAUUGCUUCAAGCUCGCCGGAGGAAAACCGCCACCACGGUCUUAGUGCACUCAACCGUAUGAGUCACCGACAUGCAUAUGAAUGCAAUAUGAAUGAUUCAAGUGUUUGAUAAAUCACCAAGUAAACAUGGAACACUUGAUGAUUUAUCUCAAAUAUGUACAGUAGCUUUCUUAAGAAUUUUAGAUGCUCAAACAAAAUAUGGGAAAGUUACAAAAACAAAGAAGCACGUCAUGUCUUUAUACAAACCACAAUCUCCUUUUUGCAAGAGAAGAGCACAAAGCCACGUCCUCAAUCUCUUGCCAUUAAUCAUAUUUGAUUCUCAUAGAAUCCUACCUCAAUUCGUCAGCCCAUGCAAACUUCCCAUGAACAAUAUAAGAUUUAGAUGCCUACUGAAUGACAGAGCCAAACUUCCUAUAUGGUUCUAAGUAAUCAUGCCAAACAGCAGACCACAAGUUCUAUUCAAUCAUGAAUAUCAUAUUUGAUCCCAUAUGGACUCUAAGUGAUUGAUGCCAAAUAGCCACUAUUUUAGGGAGAACCAAUAUCUCCUAAAACAAAUUAAUUAGACCAAACAAAGAUAAGAUUUUAACUUGAAUCAAAAUAGAGUCCAACUAGGAAAGCAAUUUCAAGAGAUAAAAUCUAAUCCUAUUAAAAGUAGGGCUAACAUAAAAGUGCUUGAGUAAAAAUAACUCCAACUAGGAAUCCUAUAAUGAAUGCAUGAUUAUGUCAUGAUUUACCUGAAAUCAGUUUCUCAUAUCGGUUAAGUCAUGCUUCAAAGAUCCAGAAUGAAUGUGUUGCUCCAAAGCUUCCAGUAAAACAUAUUCACACACUAAUUCCCAACCUAUGCUAGAGUCUAGGAAAUGACAAUACAAUUUUCAUACUAACAAUCUCCCCCUUUGGCAUUUCCUAGACAAAACACCUAUUACAACUCAAAAGAAAUUGCAUGGAAUUGAACAAAUGAAAUCCUACUCUAAACUCAAGGCUUUGAAUCCCUGCACAUUAUGAAACAACAAAACCAGUGAAGCAUGUGGGAGAAGAAAUGUAAUUCAAGGCAAAAUUACAACACCACUCCCCCUUAAUUCUACAACACAAUCUCUCCCCUUUUCAUAAUUUCACAUAGUGAUCUCUCCCCCUUUUUGUCAGGAAAUCCAAAGGACAAGGAAAUAACAUACAGAAGCAUAUAAAAGAGGAAAAGAUCAGAUUGCAAUCCAACAUAUAAAGGCAUAGAGAUUUACCAAUGAUGCAUGUAAGGGGCUUUAUCUUGUUGAGUGACAACGAGCAAUAACCUCACUGCUUCUAGAUGUGCAAUUGGUGAAAAAGUCUCAUCUUUUUAUAGCCAAGAUCCAUUAAUCACCUACAAGAACAACAUACACAAUUAGGUUCAAUCAUAUAAACAAUAUAUGAUUCUUACCUCUUCGGUUGCAUGUCUUAUACUCUGCAUUGUGUCAUACAUGUUGAUGUGCCAGAGGUAUGCAACGGACAGGAUUGAUAAUGACACUGCAAUCCUCAGAUUCAGUUUAUCAUGUGUGCGUCUUAGUAACAUGAAGCAAAGCCUAGCGGCACAACUAAACAAGAAGCAUAAAUGACACAAUGUUUGAAAACAAAAAGAAAUUCGUUUUUUUUUUUUAAUAUAAUUUUUUUUUCUUAUAAAAUUUUUGGAAAACAAAACAACAAAGAAAAACGAAAGGGAAAAACAAAAACAUAACAUAACACAAACAAAAACAACACAAUUAAGACAAAAGGCUCAAAACAACCAAGAUAUAUAACACAUUUUAGAUGCAGGUCCCAAGCUCUCUAGAAGAUGUAAUUAUUUUCCAUUCAUAAACAUGCCAAGUAUGUGAGCAAGAAGAGAUAGUAGUAGCAGACCCAACGCUGUCUGAAACGCAUAAGAAGCAAAGCAUGGCAGGGACAAAAGCAAGCCACCAGAUGAAAUGCACAAACUCACAGAUAAUCAAGGAGGCAUACCACAUGCAUGGUGAAAAAUAAACAUCACCAAAUGAUUCUACCAUUAGGAAGCAAAGGUGUGAAGUGAACUCCUUUCAAUUAAGCACAAAAAAUAUGUCCACCCAAGACUGAUCCCACCAAAGAUGACACAGACACUAAGUGCAUUGUAAGUAUAAGAAGAUCAGUUUAUUUGAGACAUGAAUUGUAUUUAUUUAUUAUUAUUAUUUUAAAUUUGGUGGCUUACUUUAUUUAGCUUUCGACAUGAUCCAUGUAACGGAUGGUCAAUCAGUGUGCUCACGUCAGAUGACUGGAAGCAACUGGGUGAUAAAGCAUCCCUGGGGAAAUACUGAUCCGAAUCAUGAAGGCUCCAAAGAUAAGCAAGGACAGCAAACCAUCAUAACUUGUUGACUUGAACCUCGACGUUGGUUAGAUAAGAGGCCCGGUUACUGAGCAAUGAGCGGUCAACACCUUUUUUUUUUUUUUUUUUUAAAUUUUUAUUUCUAAACAGAUCAAGAACUUACGCACAGUAGUGUUAUGGCAAUCCAAAGAGAGACAAGUGCAUGAGAAGAGAUAUUCAAAGGAAUUCAAGGAAAAGAGUGUGAUGUGCAAAAUAAAAAUAAAAAGAUGGAUAGAUCAUUUAAUGAAGUUUAUAAUGCACCAAGACAAUGGAAACCUUUGUGUGAAGCUGAAAGUAUGAGUUCUCAAUAUAGUGCAGUGUCAGAGCCCAAUCUAAGAUCAACAAAUACGUUCAGACAGUUACAGGAUUGAUACACCUUAACAAUCCUUGCACGAGCUGGGCAGAUUUAUAAACACCGAAAUUAAUUGAAAUAUCAUAAGACAUGAAAGAGGCUUUGGCAUGCAAUAGACUCCAAAUUAAUCUAGAGCACAUAUACCUAAAGACUUUCUAAGAGUGUCAAAUCGAAGAUUAUCCAAAGAUUUUGCAGCAAUACAUUUAAGAUCCAAACUUUCUAAAGCAACGGGUUCAUGCACAAGAUUAGUGGAGGAAGACAUACCGUUAUGAUUUUCCUUUUUCCUCCAAACUAACUUUGUCUUAGUUGACGGCAAACAAUGAAAAGAAGAUAGUUUGGAUAAGCGGUUUACCUCUUCCAUAAGACUUAAAAUCUUAUGUUGGAUACUUACUUUUCCACCCAUGCCAUGAGAAUUUGAACAAACAAAUUCAUUUCGAAGCUUAUUGCAUCUUGGUCUUAUGUGCCCACGAGUUCCACAAAAGUGACAAAUUGGAAUAAAUUUCUUGACUUCAUGAGUGACAGAAGGUUCAAUAGGUGAAGUGAAUUUGACAAACUUUGUUUUAGACACAGCGGAAGACUUAUUACUUGGUUCAAAUCCCAAGCCUCGUUUGUCACCGUCUCUUCUUCCCAUGCUAAUCAUCUUGUCAAUUUUUUCUGCACCAAUGGUUAAAGAAACAAUUCUUUCCUUUGAAUUUUUAAGUUCAAGUUCAAGGGCUUUGUUGUCAGAUGUUAGAGAUGCAAUUAAUUUAUUCUGAUCAGCCAAUUUUUUAUGCAAAAACAUCAAUUUUUCGUUCAUACCUGCACUUACCUUUUUGGAAUCUGCAUCAGGAGAUUGAAACUCGUUUGCAAUCCUGCAAUUUUCCAGCUUCAGCACAGCAACUUCUUUGACGAGCUCACUAUUUUGUUUACUGAGCUUCUAAGAAGCAGCCAACAAAUCAUCAUAUUUGUUCAUGAUAAACUCAAUAUUUAUACCUUUACAAUCAUCAUCCUCAUGUGAUUCAUCCAAGCUAACUGUGGUUAUGAGUGCAACCGUCUUUUCAUCAUUCUCGCAUUCUGAUUCACUAUCACUCCAAGUAGUAUGCAUUGCCUUAUUCUUGCCAUCCUUUUGUUUCUUUAAGGUGUUGGCACAUUCCGAAGAUAUGUGUCCAUAGCCUUCACAUUCGAAACAUUGGACCUUUUCUCUUGGAUUCUUUCGUUCAUUUGACCUGCGAAAUUUAGACCCACCAUCAGUAUAGUUAACAAACCUAUUUUUAGAAUUUAUACCUUUUAAAUCUCGACUCCUUGGAUCCAGAUUCUUGAGAAAGUUCAUGAAUCGCCUUGUGAGAAUCAUUAAUUCAUCAUCACUGCAAUCUUCAUUUGAAUGCCCAUUAUCUUCUUCAUUCACAACCUUGAAAGCAACAUUUUUGCUCUUUUUAGGAGCUAGAUGUUUCAUCUCAUAGGUUUGUAUGGACCCUAUGAGUUCUUGAACUUUCAAGGUGUUCAAGUCGCGGAUCUCUUCAAUAGCCGUGAUCUUUGGUUGAAAUCGUUGAGGCAAGGAUCUCAAAAUCUUUUUCACAACCCUGUCUUCUGGAAUUUUUUCACCUAAACUUGAACAAGCAUUCACAAUUACACACAGUUUAGCAUAAAAUUCGGAAAAAGUUUCAUUCUCAUCCAUCAUGAGUGUCUCAAACUGUAAAGUAUGCAUUUGAAGCUUGGCUCCCUUGACAGUAUCUGUUCCUUCAUGAGUAACCUGCAAAAUAUCCCAAGCUUCCUUAGAAGUAUCACAACCAGAUAUAUAUUCAAAUUGAUCUGAAGAGACAGCAGUAAAUAAAGCAUUUAACCCUUUUUGAUUAUUAGUGUUAUGUGUGACUUCUGCAGUGGUCCACUCCUCUCUAGCUUUGAGGAUUGUGGUUUCUUCAUCUCCGUUUUCGAUCUUCUUUGUGGGUUUAGGAAAUCCAUGAAUCACUGUACUCCAUACACGUUCAUCUAAGGACCAAAGAAACGACUUCAUUUUGGCCUUCCAAGCGUCAUAGUUGUUGCCAUCAAAAUAUGAUGGAUGUGCAAUUGAGCCCGAUGCACGAUCCAUCCUAAGGUAUAUUAGAUCUUACUGAGUAUGUCCAGCAACCUGGCUCUGAUACCAAUUGAAAAUACCUGUAGGAUAUCUAUAUAUGCCUGGAGAAGGUUAAACAAGCUAAUUCGAAUUUUUUGCAAUAAAUAAUGAUCAACCUUUGAAGCAGGAUUGAUAUUAGUUAUCAAUCCUGAGAUGUGCAAAGCUUAAAAUAAAAAAACACGCAGAGAAUUAUUUUACGUGGUAAAACCCCACCUCUGGGGAAAAUCCACGGGACUCCUCAGUCCAACUCAAAUCCACUAUAGAACGAUGAUUACAAGAAGUACUCACACACUUAUCCUAGACUCAUUCUAGAUAAUGUUU